rnacentral:rRNA from 1 species
GACGAACGCUGGCGGCGUGCUUAACACAUGCAAGUCGAACGGAAAGGCCCUGCUUUUGUGGGGUGCUCGAGUGGCGAACGGGUGAGUAACCCGUGAGUAACCUGCCCUUGACUUUGGGAUAACUUCAGGAAACUGGGGCUAAUACCGGAUAGGAGCUCCUGCUGCAUGGUGGGGGUUGGAAAGUUUCGGCGGUUGGGGAUGGACGCGCGGCUUAUCAGCUUGUUGGUGGGGUAGUGGCUUACCAAGGCUUUGACGGGUAGCCGGCCUGAGAGGGUGACCGGCCACAUUGGGACUGAGAUACGGCCCAGACUCCUACGGGAGGCAGCAGUGGGGAGUAUUGCACAAUGGGCGGAAGCCUGAUGCAGCAACGCCGCGUGCGGGAUGACGGCCUUCGGGUUGUAAACCGCUUUCGCCUGUGACGAAGCGUGAGUGACGGUAAUGGGUAAAGAAGCACCGGCUAACUACGUG